rnacentral:RNase_P_RNA from 1 species
GCGGAGGGCCGGACGGCCGCCUGCAAUUCGCCAACGGCGAAUUACACGGAGGAAAGUCCGGACUCCACAAGGCAACGGUGCCGGGUAACGCCCGGCCGGGGCAACCCGAGGGAAAGCGCCACAGAAAACAGACCGUCCCGGACGUGUUCCGGGAUAAGGGUGAAACGGUGGGGUAAGAGCCCACCGCGGGACGGGCAACCGGACCGGCAUGGCAAGCCCCACCGGGAGCAAUGCCGAAUAGGGAUCGCAUUCGGGCUGCCUUGGCCCCGCGAUCCGGGUUGGCAGCUAAAGCCUGCGGGCAACCGCAGGAUCAGAUGAAUGGUCGUCCUACGACAGAAUCCGGCUUACAGGCCCUCCGCGCGU